GAAUGGAACUGUUUAAUGAUACAGCCCCUAACAUACUGCUAAUUAUAAUCCAUUAUGGAAAAAAAGACGUGAAGGAGCACUCAUUCAAGAACAGAGAUGAGCCAUAAACAUGCAACCGGUCAGCUCUCCACCCUACUUAGACCAACAUAAAAUGUUUUAAAAGAUCAUUUCAGAUAACAGCGGGCGUUCAUUCCAAAUCAGUUGAUAGCUGCUUUGUGUCUG
rnacentral:lncRNA from 1 species